rnacentral:rRNA from 1 species
UACAGAGGGGGCAAGCGUUAUUCGGAAUUAUUGGGCGUAAAGGGCGCGUAGGCGGCCUUGCAAGUGACGGGUGAAAUCCCUCGGCUUAACCGAGGAACUGCCUGUCAAACUGCAUGGCUUGAGACCGGGAGAGGUGAGUGGAAUUCCCAGUGUAGCGGUGAAAUGCGUAGAUAUUGGGAGGAACACCAGUGGCGAAGGCGGCUCACUGGACCGGUACUGACGCUGAUGCGCGAAAGCGUGGGGAGCAAACAGG